rnacentral:tmRNA from 1 species
GGGCUUUUAAUUCACGCUUUUUCGCCUAUAUCGGAUGCGCCGGGUUCGCCCGGCUAUGGCGAUAAAUGGCGGUGCAUAAUAGGCGCAGCGGACCCGGGGGCAGUACCCGGCGGCUCCACCAAAGUCUUCCUCACAGGGAGGCUCUGACGGGGCCGAACCAGGAUCGACGUGUGUUCAAAGGCGCUGUUUUUGCCCGGGCUGAGUAACCCGUUCAAGGCUCAAAACCAUAAGUGCUAACGAUAACGAAGCACUCGCAAUUGCCGCGUAAAUUGGACCUAACGGUCUAAUUUACUAGGACGAAAGCGCGGUUGGACCGCACCGGGCAACAGAAGCGAUUCCAGCGGUACGGGGAGCACCGGGCAACAGAAGCUCCCCACU